rnacentral:rRNA from 1 species
AUGCUGGGCGCCCUCGACCUCAGCAGCAACGGCUCCAUCCCACCGCAGCUCGGUGGUUUUGCUGAGCUAUUAGACCUCCGGCUCUCCAAUAAUAAUUUUGUCGGCGACAUCCCACACCAUCUUUGCAGGCUCCUCUCCGUCAGGGUACUUGACUUGUCAAACAACCGGCUCAAUGGAGACAUCCCAGACUGUUGGUGCAACCUCCAGGCUCUGCAGUUCAUGGACCUGUCUAAAAACCUACUCACUGGGAAGCUCCCAGAUUGCUGGUGGAACCUGCAAGCUCUAGAGUUCAUGGACCUGUCCAACAACUCCUUCUCGGGUGAAAUCCCUGAGCCAUAUGCAAACCAUAACUGCUCUCUCAAUUCAAUAUAUCUCGCCAGAAAUGCCUUUGUCGGUGUCUUCCCGCGGGUCCUAAGGGGAUGCAACUCGCUGACAACCCUUGACAUGGGGAAUAACAUGUUCUUUGGUGCUCUCCCUCCGUGGAUCGGGAGUCGGAUUCCGUCACUAAGAAUCCUUAGCCUCAGAUCAAACAACUUCACCGGAGAAAUUCCUUCCGAGUUAUCACGACUUUCUCAGCUUCAGUUGCUCGACAUGGCAAGCAAUAGCUUCACUGGGUUGAUCCCGGUGGCCUUCGGCAUCUUAGCCUCCAUGAGCCAUCCACAGAAUCUGGGCAACCCGAUACGAUCUUACGGGCAGAAAUACAAUGAUAAGAUUGACAUAAUCUGGAAAGGCCAAGAGCUAAUUUUCCAAAGAACACUCUGGUUACUAACAGGUAUCGAUUUGUCUAACAAUUUGUUGUCUCAGUGCAUCCCCAAAGAACUAAACAACCUUCAGGGCCUCCGGUUCCUGAACCUAUCAAGAAACCAUCUAUCAUGCAGCAUCCCAGAGGAUAUUGGUAGCUUGUAUUUUCUCGAGUCCCUAGAUCUAUCGUCUAACGAACUUUCAGGAACCAUUCCUUCGAGCAUCUCGAGCAUAUCAGGGCUGAGCGUGUUGAAUGUCUCGAACAAUCAGUUGUCGGGCAAGAUACCCAUUGGGAGUCAGAUUCAGACCUUGACUGACCCAUCGAUAUACUCCAACAAUUCUGGCCUUUGUGGGUUUCCUCUCAACAUUUCAUGUGCCAAUACAGCGCCUGCAUCGGAUGAGAGAAAUAAUGAAGCAGAGGACCAUUUGAUGUAUUACUUUGUGAUUGCUGGGGUUGUGUUUGGUUCUUGGGUGUGGUUUGGGAUGCUCUUUAUAGUUAAGACUUGGAGAUGUGGUUUUCUCUUGUUUGUCGAUGGCAUGCAAUGUAAGUUUAUGAAGAAAGUUUCAGAUUAG